rnacentral:rRNA from 1 species
GACGAACGCUGGCGGCGUGCUUAACACAUGCAAGUCGAACGGAAAGGCCCUGCUUUUGUGGGGUGCUCGAGUGGCGAACGGGUGAGUAACACGUGAGUAACCUGCCCUUGACUUUGGGAUAACUUCAGGAAACUGGGGCUAAUACCGGAUAGGAGCUCCUGCUGCAUGGUGGGGGUUGGAAAGUUUCGGCGGUUGGGGAUGGACUCGCGGCUUAUCAGCUUGUUGGUGGGGUAGUGGCUUACCAAGGCUUUGACGGGUAGCCGGCCUGAGAGGGUGACCGGCAACAUUGGGGCUGAGAUACGGCCCAGACUCCUACGGGAGGCAGCAGUGGGGAAUAUUGCACAAUGGGCGGAAGCCUGAUGCAGCAACGCCGCGUGCGGGAUGACGGCCUUCGGGUUGUAAACCGCUUUCGCCUGUGACGAAGCGUGAGUGACGGUAAUGGGUAAAGAAGCACCGGCUAACUACGUG